rnacentral:lncRNA from 1 species
GAAGGUCAUCAUGGGGUCGAUGUCAGGCAUCUCAUACAGGGAGAUAACAAAAAGAUCAGCAUUCUCUCGGAGACAAUUGAUCAACACAGACUUUACUUCAGUAGAAAGCCUGAAUCAUAUCUUAACUGACCGAGCAGAAUUAUCAUCAAGAUGAAUAACUUUAAAAUCAAUGUCCGGAAUAGGUCUAACCUACUCUUCACAUGCAUCCAAAU